GAUGUGACGGGCCAGGGGCGGGGCCAGGCCAGGCCCCGCCCACACCGCCUGUUCCCGCGCGUCGCGCGCCCGGCUGAGUAACGGCGCGCUCGCUUCUGCCGGCCGCCUUCUGCUUGGGGGAGGUGCGAGAAGUCAGGCCCAGACUCCAUCCUCUCCAAGUACGGCAGCUGCUAGUGGACAUGCCUCUAAAGAAAGCACUAGUAACUGACGAGUCACAACAGCAGAAUUUUCUCUCCUGACCUGAAUCUUCUCAAAACAGCAAAUGAAGAGAUUGUUCAUGAUGCUUGUGCUGUAGAGGAAAAUGAGCCUCACAUAGCAUUUGCCUCCUGCUGCCAGACUCAGAAGCAAGACACCGGAACCACUGAGUCGUACCUGAGUCUCCCAUGUGUAUUACUUAUGUCAAACGUGUUACACAAAGGAGCAAUUCCAUAUUCAGGAGGCAGAAGGAGGUCCUGCUCCUGGCACUUGGGAAUCCCGAUUAUCCAAGAAAGCUGCACUUACGUUAUCUUCUAUCAGAAAUAAGUUCCACAGUCAAGAAAGGGGUAAGCAAAAAAGCUUUUUCAAUGGGGGAGCAUUUUUAGUGGUCACAUUCACUGAAAGGUUACAACCGUGUUCAGCAAAGUACUUAAGGGUAUACUUAACUUUAAGCAUGUGAGUAGUCCCAUUAAGUUAAAGAACUACUCAUAUGGCUAACAUUAAGCAUGUGUGUAAAUAUUUUGCUGUAUCAAGGUCUUUAUCAGUAGAUACACCACCAGGCCCAUGGAUCUGGAAGGGUAACUUGAAAUAGCUCUGUAUUUUACUGAAAAUUUAAGUACAAAUAUAACGGGUUAAAAUGUUUCCACUGAGGUCACUACUCUUGUUAGGAAAAGAUCAAUUAUAUUUGUCAUAAUGCCAGUCAAUGGGACAAACAUUUAUAUUUCAAAAUGUCAGAGUAUUUCCAGUAUUAAUACAGAGCAUUCCAGUUCAUUCCAAAGGAGUUUAUUUUCAAAUUCUGUUCCGAUUAUUUGUGUGUGGAAUAGUUAAUGUAUAAGGUUCCAUUUCAAUAAAAUAUAUGGAGAUUAUGAGGCUGCCACAGCCACAGUGUGGGAGCCAGACAAUUUUUUUUAUUGAAUCAGGUCAUAAAGCAGCAGUUCACAAAUGUACAGAGUUCUGAUAAAGAGCUAUAUAGCACAUAUAUUGUAAUUCAAUGCUGGCAGUGAAAGGAAGUAAUUAAAAACCAGGUACAA